rnacentral:rRNA from 1 species
UUAAGUGACUAAGCGUACAAGGUGGAUGCCUUGGCAAUCAGAGGCGAAGAAGGACGUGCUAAUCUGCGAAAAGCUUGGAUGAGUCGAUAAGAGGCGUUUAAUCCAAGAUAUCCGAAUGGGGAAACCCAGUAGAUGAAGAAUCUACUAUCAACAAGUGAAUUCAUAGCUUGUUGAGGCAAACCGGGAGAACUGAAACAUCUAAGUACCCCGAGGAAAAGAAAUCAACCGAGAUUUCGUCAGUAGCGGCGAGCGAAAGCGAAAGAGCCAGUAAGUGAUAGCAAUAUAGUGAGGAGAAUGUGUUGGGAAACACAAUCAAAGAGGGUGAUAAUCCCGUAUCUAAAAACCAUAUUGUGGUACUAAGCUAACGAGAAGUAGGGCGGGACACGUGAUAUCCUGUUUGAAGAAGGGGGGACCAUCCUCCAAGGCUAAAUACUCCUGAUUGACCGAUAGUGAACCAGUACUGUGAAGGAAAGGCGAAAAGAACCCCGGUGAGGGGAGUGAAAUAGAACCUGAAACCUUGUACGUACAAGCAGUGGGAGCCCCAUCACUUAAUCCGAUUGGAAGGUGAUGAAAAGCAACCGCACUUAAACAAUGGUAAGAGGAGCGAAGCGAGUCAAACCACCCAAAAGAAGCAGUGGGAUUAAGUGAUGGGGUGACUGCGUACCUUUUGUAUAAUGGGUCAGCGACUUAUAUUUUGUAGCGAGGUUAACCGAAUAGGGGAGCCGAAGGGAAACCGAGUCUUAACUGGGCGAAUAGUUGCAAGGUAUAGACCCGAAACCCGGUGAUCUAGCCAUGGGCAGGUUGAAGGUUGGGUAACACUAACUGGAGGACCGAACCGACUAAUGUUGAAAAAUUAGCGGAUGACUUGUGGCUGGGGGUGAAAGGCCAAUCAAACCGGGAGAUAGCUGGUUCUCCCCGAAAUCUAUUUAGGUAGAGCCUUGAGGUGACACCUUUGGGGGUAGAGCACUGUUUCGGCUAGGGGGCCAUCCCGGCUUACCAACCCGAUGCAAACUACGAAUACCAAAGAGUGAUACUCAGGAGACACACGGCGGGUGCUAACGUCCGUCGUGGAGAGGGAAACAACCCAGACCGCCAGCUAAGGUCCCCAAGUCUAUAUUAAGUGGGAAACGAAGUGGGAAGGCUUAGACAGCUAGGAUGUUGGCUUAGAAGCAGCCAUCAUUUAAAGAAAGCGUAAUAGCUCACUAGUCGAGUCGGCCUGCGCGGAAGAUGUAACGGGGCUGAAAUAUAGCACCGAAGCUGCGGCAUCAGAAUUUAUUCUGUUGGGUAGGGGAGCGUUGUGUAAGCGGAAGAAGGUUCAUCGAGAGGUGGGCUGGACGUAUCACAAGUGCGAAUGCUGACAUAAGUAACGAUAAAACGGGUGAAAAACCCGUUCGCCGGAAGACCAAGGGUUCCUGUCCAACGUUAAUCGGGGCAGGGUGAGUCGGCUCCUAAGGCGAGGCUGAAAAGCGUAGUCGAUGGGAAACAGGUUAAUAUUCCUGUACUUGGUAAAGCUGCGAUGUGGGGACGGAGUAGGUUAGGUUAUCGCACUGUUGGAUAUGUGCGUUUAAGUUGGUAGGUGGGAAGUUUAGGCAAAUCCGGACUUCCUUAACACAGAGAGAUGAUGACGAGGCUCUACGGAGCUGAAGUAACUGAUACCACACUUCCAGGAAAAGCCACUAAGCGAAAGGCUUUACUAAACCGUACUGAAAACCGACACAGGUGGUCAGGUAGAGAAUACUCAGGCGCUUGAGAGAACUCGGGUGAAGGAACUAGGCAAAAUAGCACCGUAACUUCGGGAGAAGGUGCGCCGGCGUAGAUUGUAAGGGCUAGCCCCUGAAGGUUGAACCGGUCGAAGUGACCCGCUGGCUGCAACUGUUUAUUAAAAACACAGCACUCUGCAAACACGAAAGUGGACGUAUAGGGUGUGAUGCCUGCCCGGUGCUGGAAGGUUAAUUGAUGGUGUCAUCGAAAGAGAAGCACCUGAUCGAAGCCCCAGUAAACGGCGGCCGUAACUAUAACGGUCCUAAGGUAGCGAAAUUCCUUGUCGGGUAAGUUCCGACCUGCACGAAUGGCAUAAUGAUGGCCAGGCUGUCUCCACCCGAGACUCAGUGAAAUUGAAAUCGCCGUGAAGAUGCGGUGUACCCGCGGCUAGACGGAAAGACCCCGUGAACCUUUACUAUAGCUUGACACUGAACAUUGAAUUUUGAUGUGUAGGAUAGGUGGGAGACUUAGAAGUAGGAACGCCAGUUUCUAUGGAGUCAUCCUUGAAAUACCACCCUUUAACGUUUGAUGUUCUAACGAAGACUACGGAACGUGGUCUCGGACAGUGUCUGGUGGGUAGUUUGACUGGGGCGGUCUCCUCCCAAAGCGUAACGGAGGAGCACGAAGGUUUGCUAAUCACGGUCGGACAUCGUGAGGUUAGUGCAAUGGUAUAAGCAAGCUUAACUGCGAGACAGACAAGUCGAGCAGGUACGAAAGUAGGUCAUAGUGAUCCGGUGGUUCUGAAUGGAAGGGCCAUCGCUCAACGGAUAAAAGGUACUCCGGGGAUAACAGGCUGAUACCGCCCAAGAGUUCAUAUCGACGGCGGUGUUUGGCACCUCGAUGUCGGCUCAUCACAUCCUGGGGCUGAAGUAGGUCCCAAGGGUAUGGCUGUUCGCCAUUUAAAGUGGUACGCGAGCUGGGUUUAGAACGUCGUGAGACAGUUCGGUCCCUAUCUGCCGUGGGCGUUGGAUGAUUGAUUGGGGCUGCUCCUAGUACGAGAGGACCGGAGUGGACGCAUCACUGGUGUUCCGGUUGUGUCGCCAGACGCAUUGCCGGGUAGCUAAAUGCGGAAGAGAUAAGUGCUGAAAGCAUCUAAGCACGAAACUUGCCAAGAGAUGAGUCAUCCCUGACUUUAAGUCAGUAAGGGUUGUUGUAGACUACGACGUAGAUAGGUUGGGUGUGUAAGUGAUGUGAGUCAUUGAGCUAACCAAUACUAAUUGCCCGAGAGGCUUAACUAU